rnacentral:rRNA from 1 species
AGACGUCUACAUUAGAUACCCCGGUAGUCCCAGCCGUAAACAAUGUGCGUUAGGUGUGUCGGUAACCACGUGUUACUGAUGCGCCGAAGAGAAAUCGUGAAACGCACCACCUGGGAAGUACGGUCGCAAGGCUGAAACUUAAAGGAAUUGGCGGGGAGCACCACAACAGGUGGAGCCUGCGGUUUAAUUGGAUUCAACGCCGGACAUCUCACCGGAUAAGACAGCUGAAUGAUUGUCAAUCUGAAGGUUUUACAUGACUAGCUG